UUUUAGACGAGAUCCGCAAUUAGGGAGAGAAAGAAACGCCCCCAGUGGCGGGCCGCAGCACUCACCGGGCCCCAGUUGCGCUCUUGGUUGAUUCCAAACGUUGGCUCCUCCUUGGUCUCUCUGUUUGGUUGGGAAGAUAAGCGUAUUAGGAGACUUGGAUAAAACUGCGAAUCCCUAGAAGGAAAGCCAUAAAAGGUUUGCUGAGCGGAGCACCGAAGUUCCCUUUUGCCCAGCAUGCUGGGAUUUGAACAGGACCCCGCUUUCCACGUUGUAGACUCCGCCGGGCCCUGGCUGCCACGCAGAGGCGGGCGUUGUGGCACCGUGCUCUCCCAGGACUGAAUUGAGCCUCUGUCUCUCUGUUCUCCCAGCCCUUUCAAUUCGCCCUGCCUGCCUUUUAUCCUUCAUAAUAAACUGGCUGUUAUUUUUCUCA